CACGUAGGGUGCAAGCGUUGUCCGGAAUUAUUGGGCGUAAAGGGCUCGUAGGCGGUCCGUCACGUCGGGAGUGAAAACUCGGGGCUUAACCCCGAGCCUGCUUCCGAUACGGGCAGACUAGAGGUAGGCAGGGGAGAGCGGAACUCCUGGUGUAGCGGUGGAAUGCGCAGAUAUCAGGAAGAACACCGGUGGCGAAGGCGGCUCUCUGGGCCUUACCUGACGCUGAGGCGCGAAAGCGUGGGGAGCGAACAGG
rnacentral:rRNA from 1 species